rnacentral:lncRNA from 1 species
GGCAGGAAGAGGAACACAAGUGACUGCUAAUGGAUAAGACAAGAGCUCACUCACUGGAGAGCAGUGGCAUGAUCACAGGUCACCGCAUCCUGGAAUUCCUGGGCUCAUGAGAUCCUCGCACCUCAGCUUCCCGAGUAGCUGGGACUACAAGGUGUUUAACACCAUACCGGCUAAUUUUUGUUUUUUGUUUUGUUUCGUUCGAUGAAGACGAACUCCUGGGUUCAUGCAAUCCUCCCACCUCGCUUCCCAAAGUGUUAAGAGUAUAGACGUGAUCCACUGACCCUGGCAAAACUAUUUUUUAAAAAAAGUGACAAUGGCUUAACACCUACAUUAGAUGACAAUAAAACCAGUGCAGAUGGUCAUGAAAAGCAAACAAAUUCAGGGAUUAUAGACUUUAUAACCAAGUAUAUCUACUGGUCUGUGAAAGGAGGAAAUGACAGAGUAUGAACAAUAAAAUACUAU